UACGAAGGGUGCUAGCGUUGUUCGGAAUUACUGGGCGUAAAGCGCGCGUAGGCUGUUUGACAAGUCAGAGGUGAAAGCCUGGGGCUCAACCCCAGAAUUGCCUUUGAAACUGUCAGACUAGAGUGUCGGAGGGGAUAGCGGAAUUGCUAAUGUAGAGGUGAAAUUCGUAGAUAUUAGCAGGAACACCGGUGGCGAAGGCGGCUAUCUGGACGACAACUGACGCUGAGGCGCGAAAGCACGGGGAUCAAACAGG
rnacentral:rRNA from 1 species